rnacentral:tRNA from 1 species
GCGGGAAUAGCUCAGCAGGCUAGAGCGGCGGCCUUCCAAGCCGCAGGUCGCGGGUUCGAAUCCCGUUUCCCGCUCCA